UAGGUUUUUAAAAAGAUAUUUUAUUUAACCCAACAUAUAUAUUAGAACAUAGAAUAUGAAUCUGAAUUCCCCAACUCAAUGUUAGAAAGUCUCAAACGGAACUGUCUUCUUGUGCUCGAGUUAUUGAUCUCGAGACCUCUGCUGCGAAGCUUAAAGCUUAUCUUCUUAAGCGUUCGGCUUUGGCUGAUAUUCGUCUUCGGAAUUGAGUGAUGAUGGCUUUGAUGAAACAGGCAGCCGCAGCUGGUGAUUGGUGUCAGCUUUCAUUUUGAGAACUCACUUGUUUAAAAGAGUUCUCC
rnacentral:lncRNA from 1 species